AGGGAUCAUUACCGAGUUUACAACUCCCAAACCCCCUGUGAACCUUACCAUUCUGUUGCUUCGGCGGGAUUGCCCCAGGGCCGCCCUGGAACUAGGCACCCGCCGGGGGACCCAAACUUUCUGAUGUUUUUCUUCAGCGGAUUUUAUCUGAGUGGCUUUAAGCAGAAAAUGAAUCAAAACUUUCAACAACGGAUCUCUUGGUUCUGGCAUCGAUGAAGAACGCAGCGAAAUGCGAUAAGUAAUGUGAAUUGCAGAUUUCAGUGAAUCAUCGAAUCUUUGAACGCACAUUGCGCCCGCCAGUACUCUGGCGGGCAUGCCUGUCCGAGCGUCAUUUCAACCCUCAAGCCCGCUCUCCCCCCGGGGGGAGGGUGCUUGGUGUUGGGGACCGGCCCCGCCCUAUCGCAGGAUGCCGCCCCCGAAAUACAGUGGCAGUCUCGCCGCAGCCUCCUCUGCGUAGUACCUGAAACCUCGCACUGGAGCGCGGCGCGGCCACGCCGUUAAACCCCCUAACUUUGCAAAAGGUUGACCUCGGAUCAGGUAGGGAUACCCGCUGAACUUAAGCAUAUCAAUAAGCGGAGGAAAAGAAACCAACAGGGAUUGCCCCAGUAACGGCGAGUGAAGCGGCAACAGCUCAAAUUUGAAAUCUGGCCCCCCAGGCCCGAGUUGUAAUUUGCAGAGGAUGCUUUUAGCAAGGCGCCGCCUGAGUUCCCUGGAACGGGACGCCAUAGAGGGUGAGAGCCCCGUCUGGCUGGACGCUAAGCCCCUAUAAAGCUCCUUCGACGAGUCGAGUAGUUUGGGAAUGCUGCUCAAAACGGGAGGUAUAUGUCUUCUAAAGCUAAAUAUUGGCCAGAGACCGAUAGCGCACAAGUAGAGUGAUCGAAAGAUGAAAAGCACUUUGAAAAGAGGGUUAAAUAGUACGUGAAAUUGUUGAAAGGGAAGCGCUUAUGACCAGACUUGGGCUUGGCGAAUCAUCUAGUGUUCUUCUCACUGGUGCACUUUGCCUCGCCCAGGCCAGCAUCAGUUCGUUACGGGGGACAAAAGCCUCAGGAAUGUGGCUCCUUUGGGAGUGUUAUAGCCUGUUGUAUAAUACCCUGUGGUGGACUGAGGUUCGCGC
rnacentral:rRNA from 1 species